UAACCACAGCUUCUCAUCGUCUCAGAGCCCCGCCCUCUAUCUCACUGUCGGAGACUUGGUGACAAAUCUGAUCAUCAGGGUGGUGCUGGUCCACUUCCUCCUGAUCAUGGGGACCAUCUCCCUCUACUUCUACUGUCGGGCCAGUAGGGGGCGCUGCAGACUGAAGGCACGCAACACAGGAUGAGAUACAGCAGCACAGCAACCACCACAGCAACAGCAACCACCACAGCAACAUCCACGUCCACAGUCCACGUCUACGUCCAUCCUUCAGAAUAGUUGUGUGUAUGUUGUUUGUGUCCCAGUCCCAGUUCUGGUCCUGGAGUCCUGGUCCGGUCUGAAUGUUCAGUGUGUUUGUGUUUCCGUGGUUCUGGUUCUUCUUGGACUUGGACUCAGACCUGUUCAGUCCUGACUCAAAGGACAGCAGAGGAGCUGUUCAACACUUUGGUUCACGCUCACACAUGAACUCUGCUCUGACAGCAGCUGCAAACACUUGGAAAUCCUUCAUAUGGAUGAAUUCACCACUUUUCCUGGACUGUUCCUU